rnacentral:rRNA from 1 species
AUUGAACGCUGGCGGCAGGCCUAACACAUGCAAGUCGAACGAGUGGCGGAAGGGUGAGUAAUGUCUGAGAAACUGCCCGAUGGAGGGGGAUAACUACUGGAAACGGUAGCUAAUACCGCAUACCAUCGGAUGUGCCCAGAUGGGAUUAGCUUGUAGGUGAGGUAACGGUUCACCUAGGCGAAGAUCCCUAGCUGGUCUGAGAGGAUGACCAGCAAUACGGUAACUGAGACACGGUCCAGACUCUUACGGGAGGCAGCAGUGGGUAAUAUGGCACAAGGGGCGCAAGCCUUAUGCAGCCAUGCCGCGUGUAUGAAGAAGGCCUUCGGGUUGUAAAGUACUUUCAGCGGGGAGGCGUUACCCGCAGAAGAAGCACCGGCUAACUCCGUGCCAGCCGCCGCGGUAAUUC